UUGUACUAAAGGAUACAUAUGACUGUGUUCCUGCUGUCAACUGUACACCCGCACAUGGUCACGUGAAUCCAUUAGAGUACAAACACUUCCAGCUAAACCAGUUCCGGUUUCAAUUUGAGAAAGAUGACUGCAGUCAUUGCGAAGAAGAGCAAAAAAGAUUUUGCCACAAACAAGAAAAGGAUGAUUGGACUGGAAAAUUUAACACUAAGGACUUGGCUCUAGCCAGGAACCAGGGAAGA